AUUUUGGACGAACGGUCGUCUAUACAGUCUACACCAACCUUUCCUCGUCCGUGCGUCUAGCCGUCCUCCACUUGCCCGGUGCCGUUGGUAAUUCUGUCUUUCCGCGUUAUUUGCAUCACUAAAUCAUUCUACGAAAAACCGAAACAACGGACGAAGGCAAAAUAGUGCAGCGUCGAGAGGAGAGAAAAAAAGAGAAGAGAGCAAAGGAGAGACGAGAAAUUCUGACAAAAUGAAACUCAGCAAUAUGGUUGUUUUGGCGAUGAUGGCGCUAAUGGUGGUGGUCUUCCCUGCACCCUCCAGCCAGCUACUUUUCCGAAUGAGGUUCCAUGCCCCCAAGGCUACUCAUCAUCGCCCACAUUACUCGAGUUACUGGCGUCGAAGCAACCACAGGCAAAGGCUCCGGGGACGGAGACGUUAUGGCUGAAGCCUCAAGGUGGUACCGACGAUGAUAGCAAACCAAGUCGAUGACGAUGAUGUGACGCCGUUCGUCUCAUAACAGCCGGAGAAGAGACGUGUAAGCCAACAAAUAGGCCUUACAGCAUAUUUAUAAUGCCUCAUCCCUUAUAACAGAAAAAAUAUCAUAAUGCUUUAUGCUUAUAGCCUUAU